UGCCGCGUGAGUGAAGAAGGCCUUCGGGUUGUAAAGCUCUUUUGUCAGGGAAGAAACGGUCGUGGCUAAUAUCCAUGGCUAAUGACGGUACCUGAAGAAUAAGCACCGGCUAACUACGUGCCAGCAGCCGCGGUAAUACGUAGGGUGCAAGCGUUAAUCGGAAUUACUGGGCGUAAAGCGUGCGCAGGCGGUUUUGUAAGUCUGUCGUGAAAUCCCCGGGCUCAACCUGGGAAUUGCGAUGGAGACUGCAAGGCUAGAAUCUGGCAGAGGGGGGUAGAAUUCCACGUGUAGCAGUGAAAUGCGUAGAGAUGUGGAGGAACACCGAUGGCGAAGGCAGCCCCCUGGGUCAAGAUUGACGCUCAUGCACGAAAGCGUGGGGAGCAAACAGGAUUAGAUACCCUGGUAGUCCACGCCCUAAACGAUGUCUACUAGUUGUCGGGUCUUAAUUGACUUGGUAACGCAG
rnacentral:rRNA from 1 species